UACGAAGGGGGCUAGCGUUGUCGUCGAAUUCACUGGGCGUAAAGGUCGCGUAGAGCGGGAUCUUUAAAGUCAGGGGGUGAAAUCCUGGAGCUCAACUCCAGAACUGCCUUUGAUACUGGCGAUCUCGAGUCCGGAAGAGGUGAGUGGAACUCCUAGUGUAGAGGUGGAAUUCGUAGAUAUUAGGAAGAACACCAGUGGCGAAGGCGGCUCACUGGUCCGGAACUGACGCUGAGGUGCGAAAGCGUGGGGAGCAAACAGG
rnacentral:rRNA from 1 species